CCUACGGGUGGCAGCAGUGGGGAAUAUUGGGCAAUGGGCGCAAGCCUGACCCAGCAACGCCGCGUGAAGGAAGAAGGCCCUCGGGGUGUAAACUUCCUUUAAUAGGGACGAAGAAAGUGACGGUACCUGUUGAAUAAGCAACGGCUAACUACGUGCAAGCAGCAGCGGUAAUACGUCGGUUGCAAGCGUAAUCCGGAUUUACUGGGUGUAAAGGGCGUGUAGGCGGGAGAGCAAGUCAGACGUGAAAUUGCAGGGUUCAACCCUGGAAUUGCGUUUGAAACUGUUCUUCUUGAGUGAUGGAGAGGCAGGCGGAAUUCCGGGUGUAGCGGUGAAAUGCGUAGAUAUACGGAGGAACACCAGUGGCGAAGGCGGCCUGCUGGACAUUAACUGACGCUGAGGCGCGAAAGCGUGGGGAGCAAACAGGAUUAGAUACCCGGGUAGUC
rnacentral:rRNA from 1 species